rnacentral:lncRNA from 1 species
AUCCGCUAUGCAAAAGCUAGAACAGAAUAAAAAUCCGAACGCAUCCUUUUAAGGAGAAAAGGCCACAAUGGACCAAGGUUCAAACAAAAGCCAUUAUUCAUAGAAAGGGAAAAUCUGAAGAAACAAAAGCAUAAAUCCAGGCCGGAGACCCUCUUGGUUUAACAGACGAGUCCACUUCCAUCUCCAAAACCAACGGAAUGUCAAGUUCAUCCUCGAAGGUAGGAUCAUAGUCUUGUAUUCCUCCAACGCCUUAGCUAAUUCCCAU